rnacentral:rRNA from 1 species
AAGCUCGUAGUUGAAUUUCGGGAUUGACACAUCGGUCGUGCCUUAAGGGGCAUGAACUGGUGUAGUCAAUUUCUCACCUUCUGGAGAACCGCGAUGCCCUUAAUUGGGUGUCACGGGGAACCAGGACCUUUACUUUGAAAAAAAUUAGAGUGUUUAAAGCAGGCAUUUUGCUUGAAUACAUUAGCAUGGAAUAAUAAAAUAGGACGGCAUGAUUCUAUUUUGUUGGUUUCUAGGAUCACCGUAAUGAUUAAUAGGGAUAGUUGGG